rnacentral:rRNA from 1 species
ACUCGAGUGGCGAACGGGUGAGUAACACGUGGGUGAUCUGCCCUGCACUUCGGGAUAAGCCUGGGAAACUGGGUCUAAUACCGGAUAGGACCAUGCUUUAGUGUGUGUGGUGGAAAGUUUUUCGGUGCAAGAUGAGCCCGCGGCCUAUCAGCUUGUUGGUGGGGUAAUGGCCUACCAAGGCGACGACGGGUAGCCGGCCUGAGAGGGUGUACGGCCACAUUGGGACUGAGAUACGGCCCAG